UGGGGAAUAUUGGACAAUGGAGGGAACUCUGAUCCAGCAAUUCUGUGUGUGUGAAGAAGGUUUUAGGACUGUAAAACACUUUUAGUAGGGAAGAAAAAAAUGACGGUACCUACAGAAGAAGCAACGGCUAAAUACGUGCCAGCAGCCGCGGUAAUACGUAUGUUGCGAGCGUUAUCCGGAAUUAUUGGGCUUAAAGGGCAUCUAGGCGGUAAGACAAGUUGAAGGUGAAAACCUGUGGCUCAACCAUAGGCUUGCCUACAAAACUGUUGAACUAGAGUACUGGAAAGGUGGGUGGAACUACACGAGUAGAGGUGAAAUUCGUAGAUAUGUGUAGGAAUGCCGAUGAUGAAGAUAACUCACUGGACAGAAACUGACGCUGAAGUGCGAAAGCUAGGAGAGCAAACAGG
rnacentral:rRNA from 1 species